GCAAAUUGCUGCGAAGACGUCCACAGCCGUUUUGACUUUCUUGUAAGAUUGAAUUUACAGUUAAUUUUUGAUCCUGUUUAUCGGUUUUGAUGACCACAUCGAAAGCUCACUGACAUGGAAGCAAAUCAACAAACACAGAGUCAAGGAGCCACCAAACAAGCCAUGAUUUAUAUCUGCGGAGAGUGUCACACAGAAAAUGAGAUCAAAUCAAGGGACCCUAUUCGUUGUCGGGAAUGUGGAUACAGGAUCAUGUACAAGAAAAGGACAAAGAGAAUGGUGGUUUUUGAUGCAAGAUGACAUGGUUUCAACAUCCUUACAAGAAAAAUCUGCCUAACCAGAUAUUUUCAGUGGAGUUGCAGUUCCCUCUGCUUAGUGACACACGUGGAAAUGAAUAUAAUUCUAUUCACAUUUUCCCAGUCUCAUUUCUGCAUUUAUCUUGCUGUACAAUACUCUUUUAUUAGGAAAAUAACGCUCUGUCAUUAAAGUUUUUUCCUUUUUUUUUAAACAUAUCCAUGUUCUUUUCUUGUAAUGAUCACUAAUAUUAAAAAAAAUUCUAUAGAAUUCACCUGCUAUCAGAGAAACUUGGGCCUAACAAGUCAUUUGCUUAGAUUGUGAUUGUCCCAAUUUCUAACAUCACAGAAGCGGUUACUAAAGAUGAUAAAAUUGUGCUGUCAUCAAUGGAAAAGAGAAAAAGUGUUUGUCGUUUUUUGCAGUGAGCAUGAGACAAAAAAGAAUGUAUUGUUUUUAAGUGGAGAAAAAUGUAAUAAAAUAAGAACGUAAUUGAAGAAAUAACAUCCGUGCAGCUGAAAAAAAAGACAAACAAAAAAAAAAAACAACAACUAGGUCUACUCCGAAGGAAAAUGAGACAUACUUGCCGUUAGUUGGCAUCGCGUGGCGGCUUGUUGUAAGAAAUAAAAUAACUGUCGGGUCC